rnacentral:rRNA from 1 species
UACGUAGGGUGCGAGCGUUAAUCGGAAUUACUGGGCGUAAAGCGUGCGUAGGCGGUUUUGUAAGUCAGAUGUGAAAUCCCCGGGCUUAACCUGGGAAUGGCAUUUGGGACUGCAAGGCUUGAGUGCGGCAGAGGAGACUGGAAUUCCUGGUGUAGCAGUGAAAUGCGUAGAUAUCAGGAGGAACACCGAUGGCGAAGGCAGGUCUCUGGGCUGACACUGACGCUCAUGCACGAAAGCGUGGGGAGCAAACAGG